rnacentral:pre_miRNA from 1 species
AAUAAGUGUAGUUUUACACUGUUCAUAUCCAACGUUUGACCGUUCGUAUUAAUUGAAAAAAAAAUUAUUGUUAUUAGAUGAUAAAAAAUAAAUAGUAUUUUAUGUGUAAAUAAUUUUUCUUAUUUUUUUAUUUUUUAGUAAGACAAAUGGUCAAACGUUGGAUAUGGAUAUCCACGUCUUAGG